UCCUGGCUUAGGAUGAACGCUGGCGGCGUGCCUAAUACAUGCAAGUCGAGCGAACCACUUCGGUGGUGAGCGGCGAACGGGUGAGUAACACGUAGGUUAUCUGCCCAUCAGACGGGGACAACGAUUGGAAACGAUCGCUAAUACCGGAUAGGACGAAAGUUUAAAGGUGCUUCGGCACCACUGAUGGAUGAGCCUGCGGCGCAUUAGCUAGUUGGUAGGGUAAUGGCCUACCAAGGCGACGAUGCGUAGCCGACCUGAGAGGGUGAACGGCCACACUGGGACUGAGACACGGCCCAGACUCCUACGGGAGGCAGCAGUAGGGAAUCUUCGGCAAUGGGCGAAAGCCUGACCGAGCAACGCCGCGUGAAUGAUGAAGGCCUUCGGGUUGUAAAAUUCUGUUAUAAGGGAAGAACGGCUCUAGUAGGAAAUGGCUAGAGUGUGACGGUACCUUAUGAGAAAGCCACGGCUAACUACGUGCCAGCAGCCGC
rnacentral:rRNA from 1 species